rnacentral:misc_RNA from 1 species
AAGUCGUAACAAGGUUUCCGUAGGUGAACCUGCGGAAGGAUCAUUAACACGUUCCAAAACGUAUCAACCAAACGGUUAAGUGUAAACUUACUCCCUAUCUAGGAAAGCUGCGCAACACUCUUUAGUGAUGGGUAACGUCUCUCGAGAUGUUACAGAGAGUGUUGACUAGGGUCUCGAGCCCAGUGUUUUCCUUUAUAGGCUUUUUCCCCUUUUGGGGCCUUUUUCCCCAUCACUUCCAACUAACUACUUUCACCCUUUUAAUCAUUUGACUAAAUCUUUCGAACGAAGAAAUUUGUUUGGAAUUGUAUAUCUAACACUGUACAACUCUUGGCAAUGGAUAUCUUGGUUCUC